rnacentral:rRNA from 1 species
UACGGAGGGUGCGAGCGUUAUCCGGAAUUAUUGGGCGUAAAGCGUCCGCAGGUGGCAUUUCAAGUCUGCUGUCAAAGACCGGGGCUUAACCCUGGAAAGGCAGUGGAAACUGAAACGCUAUAGUGUCGUAGGGGUAGAGGGAAUUCCUGGUGUAGCGGUGAAAUGCGUAGAGAUCAGGAAGAACAUCGGUGGCGAAAGCGCUCUACUGGACGACAACUGACACUCAGGGACGAAAGCUAGGGGAGCGAAUGGG